UCGGAUGUGGUGUAUGGUGCACGCCCGCUUCGAAUAGCUCGCAGAGGAUUUGAUUUGCGCGGGAGUUCUGGGUUCGACUCUCAGCAUCCGAA